rnacentral:rRNA from 1 species
UACGUAGGGGGCAAGCGUUGUCCGGAAUCAUUGGGCGUAAAGAGCGCGUAGGCGGUCCGGUAAGUCCGCUCUGAAAGUCCGGGGCUCAACCCCGGGAGGCGGGCGGAUACUGUCGGGCUAGAGUCCGGAAGAGGCGAGUGGAAUUCCUGGUGUAGCGGUGAAAUGCGCAGAGUAUCAGGAGGAACACCAAUGGCGAAGGCAGCUCGCUGGGACGGUACUGAGCUGAGGCGCGAAAGCGUGGGGAGCAAACAGG